rnacentral:SRP_RNA from 1 species
GCCAGGUGUGGUGGUGGGCACCUGUAGUCCCAGCUACUGUGGGGGCUGAGGCAUGAGGAUUACUUGAGCCCAGGAGGUUGAGGCUGCAGUGAGCCAAGAUCCUGCCACUGCACUCCAGCCUGGGCAACAGAGUGAGAACCUGUCUCCA